CGCGGUAAUACAGAGGGUGCAAGCGUUAAUCGGAAUUACUGGGCGUAAAGCGCGCGUAGGUGGUUUGUUAAGUUGGAUGUGAAAUCCCCGGGCUCAACCUGGGAACUGCAUUCAAAACUGACUGACUAGAGUAUGGUAGAGGGUGGUGGAAUUUCCUGUGUAGCGGUGAAAUGCGUAGAUAUAGGAAGGAACACCAGUGGCGAAGGCGACCACCUGGACUGAUACUGACACUGAGGUGCGAAAGCGUGGGGAGCAAACAGGAUUAGAUACC
rnacentral:rRNA from 1 species